CACGCUGCACUCUCCGAAAUUGCCACAAGUCAAGUUCAGGAAGGCACGUCACCCACCAUGCCCUUGAACAAUGAAGUCGACGCAAUGGCUGAUCACUGGGAGGACAUUGAUCCCCUUGAUGACGAGCAUAGUGAUGAGGCUGAAUC